CGACGAGUCACCGUCGACGACGUCCAGGACCCCACCUUCGAAGUUCCAGUGCCGCCGGCAGCCGUCCUUGCCGUUCGCGCGCUGUGCUCCACCGAAGGGAACCCAUUCCUAGGGUUUGGCCACUGCCGCCAAUCCGCGCCUUGAUCUGCGCUGUUGCGCCGCCACCAUCCCCGACUCCGAUGACGCCGUCGGUUGCAGUCGCCGUUGCUGCUGCUGGGAUAACAACACCGGAGGCAGGAGCGAGGAGGAUGCAACAGUGGAGAACACCGGCGUGGGGAGCGUGUCGGCGGCAUCGGGGGCUGGCUAUGGCGCGGCGUUGUAGAGGAGGACGGGGUUCGGGUGGUGGGACUGGGGUAGACGGCAAGCUCGUCCCCACGCUGCCGUGUUCUGCAAGCGCCGCGUCGCCCUCCAGAACUCGCAUGGCAUCCCCACGCUGCCGUGUACUGCGAGCGCCACACCGCCCUCCACAACUCGCAUGGCAUUCACACGUGCCACCAUUGCCAAUCAGAGGCACCUCAAUGGAGAACAACCAUGAUUCCAUGGGCGCCAUCCUCCACAACGAACAGAAGAACCUCCCCAUCUCCAAUAAGACUGGGAGUAGCGAGCAUUGGUGCUACUGUUGAGCACGGUGCAGCUCACUGUCACUGGUGUGGCUCAGUGGGUCGAGGUGCUUCUAUUGUCUGCCUUACCUUAAAUUUGGAGCUGGGUCUGCCAUUUCCACCAAUGUCGCCUCCCCCAAGAUCUCGACGAGAAAUUUGUCUUGGCAGCAUCAUGCGUAGCCACGGCAAAUGUGAGAUCGCCGGUAUUGGCAUAGGAGAUAUGGAUGUCAAUAGAAGAUGGCUUGAUGAUGGUGAAGAUCUAUCAUGGUCACCCGCUGAAGGAUACUAAGAUAUGGUAGGAAAAUUGGCUGUUGCAAAAAUGGUGCCAGACCUGCCAGCUAAUUCAACUAGCAUGUGGACGCUACUGAGUGUUGGAAAUUAAAUGGCGUCACUAUACCCAAGAAGGAUGAGGCUCUGAAGACGGAGAUGACUGCCAGAAGAACAGACGCUCUAAUUGUAGAAAUCUGAUCCAGUUAUUCAUGAAGGCAGAGGUGGCAACACUCCAAUUUCUACUCUUAUUCAGUUAUUCAGGAUGCAUGUGAAUCCCGAUUCUUUUUCUUUUUUUUUUUGACAGGGGAAACAGUAGGGGAGGCCUCUACUGUGGUAAAAAUAUAUUAUAAAAGGAAAAGGUAACUGUAUAGAAAUAGGGGGAACCAAACUAUACAAGGGCAAGGAAGCCCAAACCAGAGGGACAGCGAGAAGAAAUAAAUGCAUAAUCAACAUUAAGAAUGUCAGUGUUAUUUCUCAAUUCAUAUGGAGUUUCAUAUGUUCAUAUAAGUUCCAAAAAGUGACUCUUGUGGAUUAGAUGGCUCAUUAAGGCAAAAAUCUUGUCUCUUUUCUGCUAAUAGCAGCACAUGCAUAUGUGUAAUCUCAUUCUGAACUAUUUACUUUUGCUUUCAAGGGCAUUAGCUUGAACAAUUUUACCGGCGCACUUCCUUCUGAACUGGGCAACUUGGCCAAACUGGAGCAACUGUAAAAUGCAUCUUUUGAACUGCCAAACCUCACUUCUGAAAGAACUUCAAUUUUGGCAACAAUCUUUGCAUAGUUCAACUUGAUGAUUAUUGCAAUGUUUCAAUUGUAGUUACUUUGAUAGCUCUGGCUUCAGCGGUCCAUUCCCUUCGACGUUCUCAAAGCUUAAGAACUUGAAGACCCUGUGGGCAGCCGACAACGAUUUCACAGGCAAAAUGACUGAUUUUAUCGGGAGCUUGACUAAGUUGCAAGAUCUAGCUGCUUUUUUGUCAUGUUCAAAUGACAAAUGGACUUUGCAUCACCCUGCUUAAUAGGGGUUAAAAUUAUAAACUUGUAGGAGGUUCCAAGGAAAUUUUUUUCAAGGCCCAAUCCCAGCAAGUCUGUCCAAUCUAACCAAUUUGACAAGCUUACGGAUUGGUGACUGUAACUUUGAUAUUACGUUGCGCAUGACUUGUGUUUCCGUUGUAACGCACGGUCGCUCACCUAUUCUAUUGGAAGUUGGCAACCACAACACUUUUUUAUAGUGGCCCGAGCUCAUGUAGUUCAUCCUGAGAAACUAAGAAAGA